rnacentral:pre_miRNA from 1 species
CUGUAUUCUACAGUGCUCGUGUCUCCAGUGUGUGUAGGGACUGGAGCUGCGGCCCUGUUGGGAUAAC